UACAGAGGUCUCAACCGUUGUUCGGAUUCAUUGGGCGUAAAGGGUGCGUAGGCGGUCGGGUAAGUCGGAUGUGAAAUCUCAGGGCUCAACCCUGAAACUGCAUUCGAUACUGCUUGGCUAGGGUACUGGAGAGGAGACUGGAAUUUACGGUGUAGCAGUGAAAUGCGUAGAUAUCGUAAGGAAGACCAGUGGCGAAGGCGAGUCUCUGGACAGUUACCGACGCUGAGGCACGAAGGUCAGGGAGCAAACGGG
rnacentral:rRNA from 1 species